GGCGCAUUCGUCUAGCGGCCAAGGACACCGCCCUCUCAAGGCGGAGAUCAGGGGUUCGAAUCCCCUAUGCGCCACCA
rnacentral:tRNA from 1 species